rnacentral:rRNA from 1 species
UACAGAGGGUGCAAGCGUUGUUCGGAAUUAUUGGGCGUAAAGGGCUCGUAGGCGGUUUGUCACGUCGGGAGUGAAAACUCAGGGCUCAACCCUGAGCGUGCUUCCGAUACGGGCAGACUAGAGGUAUGCAGGGGAGAACGGAAUUCCUGGUGUAGCGGUGGAAUGCGCAGAUAUCAGGAGGAACACCGGUGGCGAAGGCGGUUCUCUGGGCAUGACCUGACGCUGAGGAGCGAAAGCAUGGGGAGCGAACAGG